rnacentral:snRNA from 1 species
AUGCUUGUUUUGGCAGCGCAUAUACUACACACUGGAAUGAUACAAAGAUGAGCAUGGUCCCUGAACAAGGAUGACACGCAAAUUCAUGAAGUGUCCCCUAUUUUU